CAAAUAAUUUCAACCGGUCAAUUCCAAAAGGCCGCUUUUUUAAUUAUCUUUGUACUUUUUCUGAAUCAUAUCUUGAGUUUGCAGAGCAAACUCAACGUCAUGUAAGGGAUGUAACAGAAAUAGUUUUUCCAUAGCGGUACCACCUAGACAGUUAAUUAGUUUCAGACGUAAUUUAACAGAUUUAAAUGAAAAAAUAUGAAAAAAAAAGUUCGGUCAGAGCGUUUUUAGGAAUUGACGGGUUAAACGCAUAGAGAAUUUGUUGUUUACUUCAAGAGUUCUUCAAACUGUUAAGCAGCUGUACAUAUAUGUCAGCUUUUGAUGAAGAUGCAGUGUGCGGUGAUGCUCGCGCGACAACGGUGACAGCCACGACAGCUGUGGCAUUAUCGGUCCACCUUGAUGUUCCGCCUAGUCUUCUAUUCAUACGUUACACAUUUCGGUUCGUGGAAAGUCAAAGAUUCACAAAAACGAUACGCCCGAAACGCGAGAGCAGCUGGUACGCGCGAUGACAUCAGGAAUCGCGUAUCACGUAAAUACAGUGACUCUGUGCACUGCAACGACGAGUGGAGUUACAUUUUCAAACGGAAUCUAAAUAUUUACACUUUACGUAAGUGCAACGCAGAGUCGUAAUAAAAAAAAAAGGGCAGAAACGUGAAAUGAAAAAGCACACUGCUCCAUGGUAAAAACGUCGAUUCAAAAAAAGUUUAUUAGCACGUCCCGAACAGCAACGCCCAACAACUUCGUACGGCUUUCACGGUGAGAUCGGUUUUCUCCAUUCCGAAAUAAUGACGCGUGCCACAAAAGAGUUUUCAGGAUACCUUACAAAGCUGAGGAUACCGUCUUUCGGUCAUCGAGGAGCUCACGUCGACGUCGACGAACGAAGGAACGGUAUGUACCUUCGCUUCGUUAGCAGCGAACGCACUUAGGCAAAUGAGAAUUUCACCGAAAGGGAUGAUCCUUAAUCAAUCGACUAACGAGAUGUGUUCUUGAGUGGAACAAUGUACGAGGUAAAAAGUCGUCGUUUAAUAGACGUGUAUUCGUUCGCUGGCAUUAUUCUGAUCAACGAUUUCAAGCAUCACUAGAAUAAUUAAAUCGAAGAAGCAAGUAAAUUCUGAAAUAAUUUCUGUCGAUUCCGAUUUUUAAAUGAGAAAUAAAUGCAGGAAUAAGUUUGAAAGGCACAUAGUAUGGUGCUUGUAGAUACGUAUGACUCUAAUUUUUAUGAAUAUGACUUUGAAACUGAUAUCUAUAAGUAAGACAUCAUUUCUUCGGUGUGCAAUAUUUUGGAAAAAAAGACUCACGUCACGUUUCAAUAUUUAUUACAUAACAAUUGUCGAUGAAAAGAGAAUAGAAAUAAGUCUUAAGAAUAAGGUCUGUUUAGAAAAAGUUUUCAAUUUAGAAGACUCAACAUCAAUAUACAUGACUGUCUCAAUAUAUCACACCUUUCCAUAGAACAGAAAUAAUGGAAACAAUAUGCAAUAGAGAUAAAAAAAAAAAAAAAAGUCAGACAAUCUGACCCGAAAAUUUGUUGCGAAAGAAUAUCAUAGACUCAUUGUUCUCUCGCCAAAUACAUAACAAAAAAAUGAAAAUACUCUGCUAAUAAAAUUGUUAUCAAUUUUCUAAUGUAUUAUUAAAAAGGCAACGAUUUCUAAUAUUUACGGUAUUCUUUUCGACUGGUAGAACACCGGAUUGAUCGAAUCUUUUUGCUCAGUGAAUUAAGCAAAAGUUAACAGAUUGGAGAUAGUAAAAGAUGCGCGACAGAAAUGGGAGCGUAUGAACUGGAAUCCUCUUUGAAUAUAAUAUCACGUAAUUACUGGAUAAGUCGUGUUCGCGUUAAUGAGAAGCAGCGAAAUACAAUGUCGACUGUGUUCCUUGCAUCGUAGAAGAGUAAUAUUACGUACCUCGUGAUCGACAUAAUACGGCUCACGAAGGUUUUCUGGCACUCGGUUGUUGUACGCCUUCGACAGGAGCCAUUUUACGGAGGCACGUUGUUUGGCCUGAAACAAUUAAAAAAAAUAACGAAAUAGCGAAUUAAACCUACGAAGCUAUUAACUGUGUUAUUGGUUGUUUGUUUACAAUCCCGAGUUUGAAGAAACAAGGAUUAAAAGAAGAAAA